AUUUAUAUAGUUUAAACAAAAACAUUAUAUUUUCAAUAUAAAAAUAAUUUUCCAUUUAUAAAUA
rnacentral:tRNA from 1 species